rnacentral:rRNA from 1 species
CCUACGGGUGGCAGCAGUGAGGAAUAUUGGUCAAUGGGCGGGAGCCUGAACCAGCCAAGUCGCGUGAAGGAAGAAGGUUCUUUGUAUUGUAAACUUCUUUUGUCGGGGAACAAAGGCGGAGACGCGUCUCCGUAUGAGUGUACCCGACGAAAAAGCAUCGGCUAACUCCGUGCCAGCAGCCGCGGUAAUACGGAGGGUGCAAGCGUUGUCCGGAUGCAUUGGGCGUAAAGCGUUCGUAGGCGGCAUGUAAAGUCAGGUGGUAAAGUCGCAGGCUCAACCUGUGUAUUGCACUUGAUACUUGCAAGCUGGAAUGCGGGUGAGGUAAGGGGAAUGCGUGGUGUAGCGGUGAAAUGCUUAGAUAUCAGGAGGAACAACGGGGGCGUAAGCGCUUUACUGGGCCGUAAUUGACGCUGAGGAACGAAAGCGAGGGUAGCAAAUGGGAUUAGAUACCCUUGUAGUC